GCCCUUGUGGCCUAAUGGCUAAGGCGUCUGACUUCUAAUCAGAAGAUUCGUGGUUCGAGUCCGCGCUGGGGUU